rnacentral:misc_RNA from 1 species
AAGUCGUAACAAGGUUUCCGUAGGUGAACCUGCGGAAGGAUCAUUAACACGUAUCCACGUAUCAACCACUGUGAACUUGUUUUCAACCCUCCCUUCGCGGUACAUGAAUUGGAACUUCACUCGAGUAUUGUUUGGGAUCGAGCAAUCGAUCAGCGAGAGUGAACCAAAGAGGUCGAUCCUUAGCGAUCGCUUCGACAAUUGUAGUGCUUCGAAGGCAAGCCUUCUACCUAACGCUUCUCCAUUCAAGAGGCGGGUGGUGGAUAAAUACACACACUAAAACCUAUUUCACCCCCUUUUUGCUAGUUGACUUUUUUAAUGUUGUGAUCUCAUACGAUUCGUCGUACGUGACCGCACACGUUUAAUUACUUGAACGUUAAAAUACAACUCUUAGCAAUGGAUAUCUUGGUUCUC